UCAAUAGCAACUAUUGCGUAGGAAUCAAUGUUGAUUAUUUAAUUUUUACGUGAUUGUAGAAUGAGUAGUAAAAAAACAGCAUAGAGAUUAACAAUUGUGAUUCGAUUGAAAAAUAUCCUUCCUUCUGAAUCGGGUGGUUGAAUUUGUAAACAAGAUAAAAUUUGUCAUUCAUAACAAGGAAGUUGUUUUCCUUUGAAUUUUUCAAUACAAUCCUAUUCUUUCGCAGAUUAGAUUCGUGUUUUCUUUGACUGGAAGAUAAAUACGGCAAUAUUUUCGACUUGAAAGUGGAACUGUUAAAAAAUCACAGUUUGAAAGACCAAAACCUAACCAAAAUGAAUAUCAAGUUUUGGACCUAUAUGCUUAUACUCCUGAUUGCUAUGCAUGCUUUUGCAGCAAAUGCAAGAUCAACUCCUAGGAGACGUAAGCCUGGAAGGCAGGUGUAUCCCCUAGGAUCCUAGACUUUGAUAUAUCAGCGCUAAAAAUAUGCCCUGAAUAUGUAAGCACUAACGAAUAAAAUUCAAAAUUU